GCCCUAGUAACGGCGAGUGAAGCGGCAACAGCUCAAAUUGAAAUCUGGCGUCUUCGGCGUCCGAGUUGUAAUUUGCAGAGGGCGCUUUGGCAUUGGCAGCGGUCCAAGUUCCUUGGAACAGGACGUCACAGAGGGUGAGAAUCCCGUACGUGGUCGCUAGCCUUUACCGUGUAAAGCCCCUUCGACGAGUCGAGUUGUUUGGGAAUGCAGCUCUAAAUGGGAGGUAAAUUUCUUCUAAAGCUAAAUACCGACCAGAGACCGAUAGCGCACAAGUAGAGUGAUCGAAAGAUGAAAAGCACUUUGGAAAGAGAGUUAAAAAGUACGUGAAAUUGUUGAAAGGGAAGCGCUUGCAGCCAGACUUGUCCGCAGUUGCUCAGCCUGUCUCCUGACAGGCGUACUCUUCUGCGGCCAGGCCAGCAUCAGUUCGGGCGGUCGGAUAAAGACCUGGGGAAUGUAGCUCCUCUCGGGGAGUGUUAUAGCCCCGGGUGCAAUGCGGCCAGCCCGGACUGAGGAUCUCGCUUCGGCUAGGAUGCUGGCGUAAUGGCUGUAAGCGGCCCGUCUUGAAACACGGACCAAGGAGUCUAACAUCUAUGCGAGUGUUUGGGUGUCAGACCCAUGCGCGUAAUGAAAGUGAACGGAGGUGGGAACCCUCACGGGUGCACCAUCGACCGAUCCUGAUGUCUUCGGAUGGAUUUGAGUAAGAGCAUAGCUGUUGGGACCCGAAAGAUGGUGAACUAUGCCUGAAUAGGGUGAAGCCAGAGGAAACUCUGGUGGAGGCUCGCAGCGGUUCUGACGUGCAAAUCGAUCGUCAAAUUUGGGUAUAGGGGCGAAAGACUAAUCGAACCAUCUAGUAGCUGG
rnacentral:rRNA from 1 species